rnacentral:rRNA from 1 species
UACAGAGGGUGCGAGCGUUAAUCGGAAUUACUGGGCGUAAAGCGUGCGUAGACGGUUAUUUAAGUCGGGUGUGAAAUUUCGGAGCUUAACUCCGAAACUGCAUUCGAUACUGGCGUGCUUGAGGACUGGAGAGGAGACUGGAAUUUACGGUGUAGCGGUGAAAUGCGUAGAUAUCGUAAGGAAGACCAGUGGCGAAGGCGGGUCUCUGGACAGUUCCUGACGCUGAGGCACGAAGGUCAGGGGAGCAAACGGG